GUGUUCAUAGAAAGGAGAGAUGGUUGGCAUCUUGCUAACAGGGAUGGAAUGGCCUUUUGGGCCUUCUUGCAAGUACACAUAUGUGUAUACAUGUUUAGGCUAUCUGCUUCAGCAGAUCUGCAAAGAAGUAUUU